ACCUUAGGGUUUAGUUUAUUUCCAGAAAAUCCAUGUGUAAAAUCAAGUAAUAGCUCGGGUGGAGGCUUUAUGCAACAGUUGUAUGUGCCUCAGGCUAGUUUCCAUGUCAUUAUUAAUUUUUGCGACAUGGCUAGUAUAUAUUGGAUGCUUGAAAAUAAGAAAUCUUAUUUGUGAUAAAUGUACGUUUUGUGAUGUAGAUACUUGCCACUUAAAGUCAGGCAAAAUAGUGGUAAUAUAUACCAAAUUAUUGUCUAAUAACUUUUUGCCAUUGCCAGCCUUAGCUACAUUAAAUGGGCACUUCGAUGAUAAAAGGCAAGAUGGAUUUUGUUCUGUGUACGUACAACACCUGGCACAAUGGGCUCCUGCUUUAUGACUGAUGUUCCUAAGAGCUACAUGCAUCUGACGAAGUGGGUCUUUGCCCACGAAAGCUUAUGCUCCUACACUUCAGUUAGUCUAUAAGGUGCCACAGGACUCCUCGUCACUCCUAAGAGCUACAGUAAUACAAACAAUAAAUAAAUGCAUACCUAAGCCAUCCAGAUUACCUCAUUUUCUUUCCCCACACUUUUUUCUCCCCAAAACAACAAAAGCCAGAUACUUUGAAGACUGAACAUUUUAUAAUGUUUCUUUCUAACUACGACUUCAGACAUACUGCUAAGGCAGCACGGGGAAGCUUGCACUAUCACUGCUUGUUCUACCACUGUAACAUAAAACUUGCUUAUAAGACAGAAUGAGAAUUUAAAUGCUAACAAUAAAUGAAGAGAACAGUCAUGCUGGUGGGUGUUAAUUUCAGACAACUUCUAGUUCUAUCAUCAAAACAGAGAUUUUGGCAAUUACAUAUCGUCUGGUAGUACUAGGCUGACUGCAGGUGAAGGUGGUUUUUGUCACUGGUAGUUCUGCACACUAUAUUUAAACAUCCUAAUUGCAUACAUGAUUGUGUUUAAUGAGGUGAUCACUUAAGCAAGCUAGUUCAUGCAUUUACAUUAAGUAACCCUUCUCUUGUGCUUUCCUUUUUUAAAGUGACAGUGUCCAAGUUAGCAGACCCUAAAAUUAAUUAAUUAAUGUGCUGCUUAUUUGAUUAGACUAGGGAUGUGACAACGAACACAAAGCUUCACGGUUACAGGCAAGCGGGUCUCCUCUCCACCCCCAGCUGCUGCCUGUGUAUCAGAGGCAACAGCAUGGGCAGGAGGGAAGAGUAGACGGCAGCUGCUGCUCGCAGGGAACCAACUUGGUACCAUCUGCAGACGUGCACUCUCUACGGCCGUGGUCACCCACAGAGAGCGGGAAGAAAAAGCGCCCCGCCCGGUGUGUUUGCCACGUGCAUGUGGCUGCAUUCAGCCCCUCCCCCAUUUCACCCACGCGCCGGCACAGUGACCGCUGUUCGCCGUGCCACAGGUCUCGCGGCUUGUCUAGAUUAGAACGCUCUGCCCAACGGCCCUUCCCUCGCGCGGCGGUUGAGGCGGGGCGCUCCCAGCCCAACGGCCUCUGAGGAGCCAGUUACCGCUCAGGGCUGACACGCCGGAAGCGGCCGGGCGGGAAGAGGCGAGGCCCGCCGCGCACUCACCAGAUACUCGGGGUACUCGUACAUGGUCUGCUAAAAAUAUCUUCCAGAGUCAGACAACAGCUCAAGGCUGAGAGAUACCUAACCUAAGACGACCCUCCUAUGUGACAAGUGACAUCCUCAAAAGCCUGGUCGGAGGAACUAUAACCCCAAGCAUCUGCCAAGGCACAUGUGGAAGGAUUAUGUGGACUUCAUAUCGGAGUACAAGGAGCUCAGAAAAACUGAAUGUUAGUAACUAUGCACCGUGGCUCCUUUGCUACAGAAACAACAAGCAAAAUGCAGGAUUUCUAUUGACUUCAAAACAGACACCACAGAACCCUCCACACUUUCCAGGUUGGUCUUUCCCCUUAUUUUCAGUGCUUUAAGUAAGGUAGUUAUUGCUAAUUAGCAACUAAAAAAAAUCAAAAUAGUUAUACAGUACUAACAUAAAAGGAUAAGCUCAGGAUCAUGAUUCAGGGGCUUGGGAUUUCCACUACAGAAAAAUAUAGAAAAAGAGAAACAUGAAUGCUUCAAGGGAGUACACCUUGAGAUUUUUUUAACAUUUAAAUUUGAAAUUUUCUAUUUCAUAAUAUUCACAGAUACAUACACGUAAUUUAAUUUUAGCAGGGCAAAAUACAGGUCAUAUAUUAUGUGUAAUAGUAGACACAUAUAUAUGUAUUAAAACUCUAAGAAUUGCAUACUUAAAAUGUUUUCCCCCCUCAUAAACAAUGGGAACCAGUCAAAUUGUUAACUAAUGUUGACUUUUAUUAUAUGGGCUACUAUAUAUGGGAUCAGAAUUGGCAAUUAAAAAAAGACACAAUUUUUUUCUUUUGCCCUGCCUAAACUAUUGACUAAGAGAACACCUCCCAUCCUUCCCCAGCAUAGACUUAAGCCUGCAAACAGCCCGAGUGGGAAUAUUAGAUAGUUUCUACAAAUUACUAUGGGCCUCUACUUUAUCUUUCUGGAGCCAUAUACUUUAGCUCAAUGUUUCUCAACCAGUGGUAGGAGUACCCUAAGGGGUAUCUGAGAGAAGUCUGGGGAGGGGAGGGGGGCAGGGCAGGUAUGUCAACACAACUGAAACUUGGAGAAGACUGAAUUUUU